ACUCCUACGGGAGGCAGCAGUGGGGAAUAUUGCACAAUGGGGGAAACCCUGAUGCAGCAACGCCGCGUGAGUGAUGAAGGCCUUCGGGUUGUAAAGCUCUGUCUUUGGGGAAGAUAAUGACGGUACCCAAGGAGGAAGCCCCGGCUAACUACGUGCCAGCAGCCGCGGUAAU
rnacentral:rRNA from 1 species